GAAAUCCGGUGUGUUGGAACCAAAGCCCAGAUGGGACGGGGUUUUUCUCUUUUUUCGAUUUCUUUUUCUCUAUCUUCCAUCUGAAGCGAUUUCUUCGAUUUCUUGUGCGAGCUCUAUUCGGUCGAGAUUUCGGAGCAGCCAGAAAUUCUAGAAUUUUUGACAGGAAAGGGACUUAUCCUAGCUGAUGGGGAGAUAUGGCGUGUUAGACAAAGUGCAAUAGUCCCAGCAUUGCAUCAGAAGGUAUCAAGAUGGCUUCAUACGUUCGCUUCUGUUUGGUUUGAUCUUUUUCCUUCAUGUAUUGGUGUUUGGUGUCUUUUUAACUCCAUUGGUUGAAAAUUGUUAGCUUGUGAAAUUCCCUGAGUUCGAACUAUUUUAGUUCCAGCUUAUUUUCAAAGAUAAGAUCGCUCUAUCUAAGUAUUGUGUUAUCCUUAUAAUCUCUGGUUAUACUUAUAGGAUGUAGCAGCAGUGAUUAGAUUGUUUGGACAAGCUAUGAAUAGACUGUGCCAAAAGCUCGAUGAGGCCGAUUCAAACAGAGAAGAGUUGUUCGGUUGAAGGCUUGCUAAUUGUUCCUUAAACCCAAUUGGGAUUCUUGAGUCUAAAUUUCUUGGGUUGGUUCUCCAUUAUUGGUAUUGCUAAAUAUGAUUCUUUUCCCUGUUUGGUUGCAAAGAAAAAUGCAAAAUGAAAGAGGAAAAAAAUAAUAUUACAUGCUCUUUGAUCUUUUUGCUUCUAUAUUUUUCAUUCAGUUU